CACUCCCUGAAGGCCCACAGCGCAGCUGCCUCUCAUAUCCUGGCUCUGCCUUGUAGCCACUCGGCUCAGCUCACAGUUUCCUGCUUUUUUCUGUACCUUCUUCCUUCUAGAUUUUUUCUAUUGUAAUUUUCCCCCAUUUUUUGAGACGCGGUUUGCAGAAGCCCGACCUCACGCUGGAAUAACGUGUGUGAGUUCCCACCUAGCUUUAUCCGCUUCUUCUUCCUUUUGCUCCUCUUUUUCCUCCUCUUUCUCUUCCUCCUUUUUAAAAAUUUACUUUAGCGUCUCUUCUAACAUUUGUUAUACUAUUACCCACCCGUUACCUUACCCUUAACUAGUUCAUUCUGGAGGAAGCUGGAGAAAAAUAGGACGGAGAAGAUGGUGGGACAUAAUGUAACCACCUAUCUUGCAUUCCUGUCACCAUGAAGCAGCUGGUGUCACACGUUCUCCAGCCACAGCGGACUGUAUCCCCUCAAGCUACAGGCAGGAACAACCGUCCUUCUCUUUAGUUGCUGCUUGUCCUGUAUUCAGUCACAACAAUGAGAAAAGUAACUAGGUCAUCUGACUGUUGCUUGGUUUUUGGUCAGAAUGAAAUCAGGAUCCAAUGGUGAGGACCAUAUCCCGUUGCCAUGGAGAUGAUUGUGCUGUCACAAAUUUAGUGUGGCUUCAAAGCGAAGAGAAACAGAUGGUCUGGAAAAGAUUGAAGGGCUGUGGUUAGCACAGGCAAUGGCAGGAUCAGCCAUUUCAGGUGCAUUUUGGAAGAAGAUAGAGGCAUAAAUGACAAGCCAAGGGCCUUUAUGAAAGCCAUUGAGCAAGAAAGAACUCAUCCAGAUAAAACUCCAAAGCAUCUUCCGUGAGAGGGAAACCUUGGAUACCUUUAAACCUAGAGUGGAGUGCAGGCAAGAAAGCAAACAGUGGGGACACCCACAGCUGACUCUCAAGAUCACCCAGGCCCCGGCUGCCCUGACAACCACUACUGAAGUCAGAGGUUCAGAUUGGGACAUUGACAUUGUGCUAAUUGUCAGCCUGGAAUCUUUCUAUCAUCAUACUGUUCAUUUAAAGAGCGAAUAAAUCCUUGAAGUCUAUUACUGUGAUACGAA